GUCAUUUCAGAUCUUGUAUGCAAAAAAUGCAUAAAGUUUAGGAUGAAUUCUAUCCUGUGCCCAUGAAACGAUAACCAUGCAAGAGAGAAAAAAUUAUUAUUGAAAUAAAAUUUUUUAAAAGAAUAUUUUUAGCACUCAGCUUUUAGAGCAGUAGUUCACCUUGUGCCUUCUUGCUAGAGGUGUCAAAAUGGGCUUGGCCCACAGGACCGGCCUGACCCAAUCCUGAAAAUGGGGUGGGCUGGGCUGCCAUAUUACUAGCCCAAAUAACAAUCGAACCUUUUGGCCCAACCCACCUCAGCCCACCUUAUGCCUUCUUGCUAGAGGUGUCAAAAUAGGCUUGGCCCACAGGGCCGGCCCAACCCAACCCUGAAAAUGAGGUGGGCUGGGCUGCCAUAUUACUAGCCCAAAUAACAAUCAGGCC
rnacentral:lncRNA from 1 species